rnacentral:rRNA from 1 species
GCUACGGCCAUACCAGCCUGGGUACGCCCGAUCUCGUCUGAUCUCGGAAGCUAAGCAGGGUCGGGCCUGGUUAGUACCUGGAUGGGAGACCGCCUGGGAAUACCAGGUGCUAUAAGCA